GAUGAACGCUGACAGAAUGCUUAACACAUGCAAGUCGAUUCGAUUUACCUUCGGGUAUUGAGGAUGGCGGACGGGUGAGUAACGCGUAAGGAACUUGCCUCUUGGUCUGGGACAACUGUUGGAAACGACAGCUAAUACCGGAUAUUAUGAGAUUCUCGCAUGGGAAACUUAUGAAAGCUAUAUGCGCCAAGAGAGAGCCUUGCGUUCCAUUAGCUAGUUGGUGGGGUAACGGCCCACCAAGGCGACGAUGGAUAGCCGGCCUGAGAGGGUGAACGGCCACAAGGGGACUGAGACACGGCCCUUACUCCUACGGGAGGCAGCAGUGGGGAAUAUUGGACAAUGGGCCACAAGCCUGAUCCAGCAAUUCUGUGUGCACGAUGAAGGUCUUCGGAUUGUAAAGUGCUUUCAGUUGGGAAGAAGAAAGUGACGGUACCAACAGAAGAAGCGACGGCUAAAUACGUGCCAGCAGCCGCGGUAAUACGUAUGUCGCANGCGUUAUCCGGAUUUAUUGGGCGUAAAGCGCGUCUAGGCGGAAAAAUAAGUCUGAUGUUAAAAUGCGGGGCUCAACUCCGUAUUGCGUUGNAAACUGUUUUUCUAGAGUACUGGAGANGUGGGCGGAACUACAAGUGUAGAGGUGAAAUUC
rnacentral:rRNA from 1 species